GGCCCCUGCAGAAUGUCUGUCGUACCAGUCAUGGGCGUUCGGCCUUCCAACAGAAGCACUGGCAGAAGGGAGGGUGUAACUACCCUGACUGUAAGCAGGUGUCGCCACAUGCUGAGCCAAGUCUAGGUGAGGAGGAAAGAAAGAAGAGACGAGGGAAAGCGGAGCCGGGAGCGAAGGUUGCGCGUGGUAUUUUGUUGUUGGAAAAAGCACCCUUUUUCGAAGUUCUUCGAAAGCGACUGCCGAAGGGUCAGCGCGAGUCGAACGCCGUGAAGCUUUCCCUUUGCGCGAUAGUAAUGUGACGCAGCACGAGUGGGAUGCUGUUUGUUGAAUAAAAGGCGUCUGAUGUUGUACCACA